rnacentral:rRNA from 1 species
AUUCUUGUUAAUUUUAAUUAUUAUUUAAUAGAAGUAACUUAAUUUUUAGUAUUUUUAAACGAAUUAAUGGUUAUUUAUUUAUAGUUUAUUUAACUGUAAAGGUUAAUUUUUUUUAAUUUAGAAGUGGAAUUUAUUUAUUGUACCUUUUGUAUCAGGGUUUAAUCAAAUUAAUUUUAAUUAUUUAUUAAAUUUCCCGAAAUUAGAGGAGACAUUUAUAAUUGUUAUUUAGUGUGUCAAAAUUAUUGAUAAAUUAUAAAUAGUUGUUAUAUGCUAUUCAUCUCUAAAUAUCUGGUUUCUUAAUAAUUGAAUUUAAUUCAGGAUUAUAUAAAUUAUAGUUUAAUUUUAUUAUUGAUUAUUUUAUAUAAUCCAAAGUUAAAGGGGAUAAGCUCUUUAACUUUUCUAUAAAUGAUUAACGUCAAUAUAAAUUAUGUAGGGUUGAAAAUUUCUUUCAUUUAUUUUGUUAUAAUUACUUUUAUUUUAAUUAUUUAUUUAUUUGUGUUUUUUUAGGUUAAUAUUGAGAUUUAUUUAUGGAAUUUUAUUAUAAUAGUAAUAAUGAUAGAAUUAGUAGAUUUGGAGAAUUAAUAUAUAGUAACUCGGCAAAUUUAUUCUUCACCUGUUUAACAAAAACAUGUCUUAUGGUGUAUUUGUAUUAAGUCUAGCCUGCUCAAUGAUUUUUAUUAUAUAGGAUUAAAUGGCCGCAGUAUUUUGACUGUGCGAAGGUAGCAUAAUCAUUUGUCUUUUAAUUGAAGGCUUGCAUGAAUGGUUGGAUGAGGGAAUAGCUUUCUUUAUAUUAAAAGUUGAAUUUAAUGUUUCAGUUAAAAAGCUGAGAUUUUUAAGUGGGACGAGAAGACCCUAUAGAAUUUUUACUAACAGGGUUUAAGUAUUAUUUUGAUAAGAUCAAAUACUUAUAUACUAGUUAAGUUUUGUUGGGGUGACAAUGAGAUUUAUUUAACUCUCAAAUAUAAUUUAUUUAUUAAUUUAUAUAUUUAGGAUCCUAUUAUAAGGAUAAUUAGAUUAAAUUACCUUAGGGAUAACAGCGUAAUUUUUUUGAAGAGUUCUUAUCAAUAAAAAAGUUUGCGACCUCGAUGUUGGAUUAAAAUUAGAUUUGAGUGCAGCAGCUUAAUGUCUAGGUCUGUUCGACCUUUAAAUUUUUACAUGAUCUGAGUUCAGACCGGCGUGAGCCAGGUCGGUUUCUAUCUUCUUAUUUGUUAAUAUGGAUUAGUACGAAAGGACCAUUCGUAUCAAAUAAUUAUGUUAAUUUUGAUUAUUAUUAAAAUUC